GGCGAGGGUUGAGGGGGAAUAGGCGCGCGGACUGAAACUCCGCGUGACGGUGGUUCAACGCCGCCCCUGGUCACCA
rnacentral:tRNA from 1 species